rnacentral:lncRNA from 1 species
UCCCAGGUCAAAAAUGCAAAUCUUGGCAUCAGGGACACCUCUGCAGAAGCCAGACUUUGGAUUGUUGAACCCAGAGACUGAAUGUACUUGAAAGCAAGGAGACAAUGAAUGCCCAGGAGCUUCAAAAUGGAAAGUCAAAUAGAAGACCCUUCACAUAAAGCUAGAAUCCCGCCAUACUCCAGAAAGAGAAUGAGAAGUCUACCAACCUAUGGGAAGAAGAUGACUGCAAUGCAAAUAAUUUACAGAGGACUAUUAUCCAGGAUAAACAAAGAACUCACAUAACUCUACAAGAAAAAGAUAAGCAAUAAAGGUAAGCAAAAUAUAUGGAUUGACAUUUAACAGAAGAAGCACCUGAGUGAUCAAUAAACAUGUAAGAUGAUAUUUAAAAUCACUGGUAACCAGGGAACUACAAAUUUAAAAUGCACACCUCCAAGAUUUAUAAAAAUUUAAAACCAUCCAAGUGCUGGCAGAGAUUUGGAACAAGUACAUUUGAACUUUGCUGCUCGGAGUGGAGUGUAAAUUGGAAAACAAUUAGGCAUUGUCAUUUAAAGAUUAUGUUCAUGUCGUUUAACCCAGAAUUUCUAUUUCUAAAUACAUACUGUAGCACAAUGCUUCCCAGGUUUUCAAAUUAUGACACAUGUAAACAAUGAGAGUAUGCAAAUAAUGUAUACUGGUGUAAACUUUAGGGAUUAUGAGAGCACUCAUAAUGAGGCACAGAUUUUAAAAGGCUAUUAGGUUCUCUUUGGAUUAUACAAUUAAUAUUUUUAAAGUAAAUUUUUAAAUAUAUGGAAUUCAAUAUUAAAUUUAUCUGAAAGUUCUAAAUAUGAUUUAAAAUAUUUGAGAAUGUUCAACUUUUUCAUGAUUAUAACUUUAUCAGACUUAUACUUGAAAUUGCCAUAUGCAAUCUUUUAUCAUGACUCCUGCAUAAUGAACACUAUACAUACUCAAAAACCAGCAUCAGCAAUAAUUCACUCAAAUAGGUGGUAAAAAGUUUAAAAUUAAUUUCUCAAAAUCAAUAAACAUGCACAACAGUUCUAACUAUAUUUAGAGUAUAAAACAGAUCUUCCUUUUCUUCCAAGGUAAAGUUGCAAAUAAUUCAAAAAUGUGAACAUAUUUUGAAUUCAAUUGGUCUUUUUCAUGUCAACAAUUUCAAAAUCAUACAGAAGUAUGAAUAUGUAUAAAGCCAAUUGUAGCAAGCCCUUUUUCUUAAUAGAAGUGCACAUUUGUCAUAAUUAAACAGAAUUAUCUGUUAUAUUUGAAGGCAGGAAUUCAGGAAUAACAUCUGGUGGCCCCAAAACCCAAGUCUUGACCAGUCUCACCUCUGCUUUUUUGGCUGUGUUUUUUAGGCUGUGCUUUUUGGCCAUCUGGAACACAAGCUCUCAGCAGUUCCUAGGGCCCCUUAUCCACCAUGGGCAAUGGUUCACUUUGAAGCCAACGUUUAAAAUAGAUGUCCAUGUGACAAGCAUUUUAGCAUCUCAGGACACUUAGUGUGCUCACAACUGAAGGAGAACAUGGAGUACCAUAUCUGACUCCAUUUUGCUCUGGUAAUCCUCUGAGAAGAGUGUAAUGAAGCAGCCAGUGUUUGGAGCAACUUGUCCAGGGAUUCUAGCUAACCCAGGCCUCACUAGAUAAUCUCAGGAUGGAGACCACUAUUUUGUAGCACAAUCUGUAACUUAACAUGGCACAACUCUUGAAAAGCUCUAUUAUAGAAAAACUCUUUCACAUGUCAUCAAGCAUGUGUACCAAAAUGUUCACUGAAGUAGUAAAAGCAAAAAUUAUAGGAAACAAACCAAAUGUCAAACAAAGUAAAAAAUAUGAGACAAUGGAAUAGUUUACUCCAUUGAAAAUGAACAUAUUCUAACCACAUGCAAUAGCAUAAGCCAAGAGUAUAAUGCAGAGCAAAGAAGCAAGUUAAAAAUAUAGACAAAUUAAGCAAUAUAUUAUAGACAUUUACUUGGAUUUUAUAAUACAAUAUACAUAGUACAUGUUAUAAGUAAGAAUAAAUUUUAAAAGAAAAAAACACAAAAAUUUAUGAUCAUGAUUCAUUCGAGAAUGGAAUGGGAAAGAAUCAGAAAGUGACACAAGAGGGACUUCAAAGUUAACCAUAACGUUCUUCUGUCCCCACAAAAUGGAGGGUGGCUACUCAAGUGAUCAUUGUGUUCUUUAUGUCUUACUAUUUAUGUCUUUAUGUCUUACUAUGUCUAUUGUGCUUUGUCUUACUGUAUUUUAUGUUAUUUUAUUCAUAAUCUAAUAAAAACAAACAAUGAUAAGACAUAUCCUGGAUAUUUUUAAAUCUAAGUGGUUCCUAAUAUGAAAGCAAUUAUGUAAGUAAAUGCAGCCAUUACACUUAAAAUCUCUACUAUUUAUUAUAACUGGAA